rnacentral:rRNA from 1 species
UACAGAGGUGGCAAGCGUUGUUCGGAAUUAUUGGGCGUAAAGAGCUCGUAGGCGGUGUGUCGCGUCGGCCGUGAAAACCUGCAGCUUAACUGUGGGCUUGCGGUCGAUACGGGCAUCACUGGAGUUCGGCAGGGGAGACUGGAAUUCCUGGUGUAGCGGUGAAGUGCGCAGAUAUCAGGAGGAACACCGGUGGCGAAGGCGGGUCUCUGGGCCGAUACUGACGCUGAGGCGCGAAAGCUAGGGGAGCAAACGGG